rnacentral:rRNA from 1 species
GGGAGAGGAAACAUGUUUUCCUCGAGUCGUUGAUUUCACACUGUCGAGAAAAGCCUCUAGCUAGAUAACUGGUGCCCGUACCGCAAACCGACACAGGUAGUCAAGAUGAGCAUUCUAAGGUGAGCGAGAGAACUCUCGUUAAGGAACUCGGCAAAAUGACCCCGUAACUUCGGGAGCAGGGGUGCUCUUUAGGGUUCACGCUCUGAAGAGCCGCAGUGAAUAGGCCCAAGCGACUGUU